UACAGCUCAGGUACAGCAAGGUGCCAAGGGGCACGCUGGGAUGGAGGGGGAGUCGGGACUGACCCCACCCUGCACACUGAGGUGUUUUUCCGGCACUGGGGACUCACCUCGUGCUGCCAGCGGUGCUCAAUGUGUUAAUUACGGAGGGAGGUCAUUAAUGUCCAUCAGCGGGCGGGGAGGGGACGGCACUCGCAGGGAGGAAUGUGUUGGGGGUAGGCUGGAAUGCAGCAGCGCUGACAUGCCCGGAGCAGGAGAGACAUAAAAAGAGUGCACUAGCCUGUAAUUUCCCUGCAAUUUCUCCUCGGGAAGUAAUCAAAGUUUACGACUAGUCGUGGCAAUGCCCGUGUCUCUAUUCCAGAAAGAGGUAGAUAAAAAUAGUUUAGAAUCACACUGGGAAAAAGAGAAAUUUGACAUUCCUUUGAAAACUCUUUGUGGUCAAGUGCUCCCAGCCCACUUUGGCCAAGUUCUUAGUGAGAAGGAUGCCAGCUGUGGCUGACAGUCCUUUUGGUUGCCCUCAUGUAAGCCAGGCCCUGCUCAUCUGCUGAGCAGAGUGAUUGGACUCGUUUAAUCUUUAGAAAUAAAAAUGAAGGGAUUUGUGCUGGUUCAGCAAAGCCCUGGUUCCCCUCCGGGGCUGUGUCAGCCUUGGGACAGGAGGGCUCUUUCCUCCUGGUUUUCUCCAUUGCCCCACUUGCUGCUUGGGGCUGGUUUUGACCUUGCUGAAGCCUCACACGAUGCUGCUGAGCUUUCAGGGAAUGAGCAAGGAUUCCGUGUUCCGGAUACAGGAUAUGAAACACUCAGUGACGUAACAGAGGCUGCAUUUAAAAUUAAGAACCUUUUUCCUCUGUGCCCUUGGCGAAGCUCUCUACAGUCCCACCUCUACAGGAACCACACUUCAAUGGUGCUGUACACCCGUACUUAGUCUUUACAACGUUUUCGGAUCUUUCCAGAUGGAAAAUGCCAUAGAAAUGUAAAACCUUAUUAAUUAAAGGCUGAAAUAGA